rnacentral:lncRNA from 1 species
AGGUACCGUGGAUGCUAUGCUCACAGAUUAUUAUGAGACACUUUAAUUUCCUGGAAGCAUGAGGCUUCUAAACUUAAAUGGAUCUAUUUGCACUUAUCCAUGAAAAUUACGAUUCUCUUAAACUUGGAAUUCCAAAGGAGGCUUGUUUUGAAUGCUACAAGGACUGGGAGACACCUGAUGUUACUGUUCUGACAUGGUGUGCAGUUGCUGGAUUGUAGGGUAAGUGUAUGUUUAAAUUUCUAAGAUAUCACCAAGCUCUCUUCCAAAGUGGCUAUAUUAUUUUGGAUUCAUAUAGUAAUGCGUGAGAUUUUCUGUUACACAUCCUGGUCAGUAUUUGGUGUUGUCAGUGUUUCAGAUUUUAACCUUUCUGAUAGGUUUUUGGUUUUUUGUUUUGCCUUGUCUUCUGUAAAGAAAAUAUGUAAGUUUCAGGUGUACAGCAUUAUGUUCAGUAUCUAUAUACACUAUAGAUGGAGGUGUAUAUACCUCCAUCACCGUAGAGUUGGCCCCCCUCACUCAUUUUACCCACCCCCUACCUCAUGCCUCUGGUAACCACAAGUGUAUUCUGUGUAUCUGUGAAUUCAGUAUUUUUCUGUUUUGUUUUGUUUUGAUUUUAGAUUGCGUAUGUAAGAGAGAUCCUAUGGUAAAUUUUCUCUUUCUGAGUUAUUUCACUUAGCAUGAUACUCUCAAAGUCCAUUCAUGGUGUCGCAAAUGUCAGGAUUUCAUUCUUUUUAUGGCUGAGCGGUAUUCCUUUGUGUAUAUAUGCCAUGUCUUUUUUAUCUGUUCAUUCAUUCAUGGACCCUUAGGUUGUUUUCAUAUCUUGGCUAUUGUCAAUAAUGCUGUGAAUAUAGGGUUGCAUUUUAUUUUCAAAUUAGUGUUUUCAUGUACCUGAUGCUAAUUCAAGUUGGUUAUAAGCCCAUAUUGCUACCAAGCAAAGCUGUUGUUUCUUGUGUUGCAAAACAGUAUGUUAAAAUUUUUUUUCUUAAGAUUUUUGCCUAAGAUUUUUUUGAAUAGAUUUUUUUUUUUUUGCUUUUUGGCCACACCAUGACAUAUGGAGGUUCCCAGGUAGGGGUCUAAUUGGAGCUGUAGCUGCUGGCCUACACCACAGCCGCAGCAAUGCAGGAUCCGAGCUGCGUCUGCGACCUACUCCACAGCUCACAGCAAUACCAGAUCCUUAAGCCACUGAACAAGGCUAGGGAUUGAACCUGUAACCUCAUGGUUCCUCAUCAGAUUCGUUUCCACUGUGCCACAAUGGGAACUCCUGAAUAGAUUCUUAAUUAGUACUUCGUUAUUUAUAGGUUUUCUAAUGAUGCAUGAUGUUAAACAUUUUUUAAUGUGCUUAUUGGCAUCUGUACAUCAGUAUU